AGAAAAUAUCUAGUCGUGAAUAUUAGUCUAAAAUUCAGGUCUUCCUGGUGUAUGAAUCAAUGAAAUAUCUUAGGCACAAGAUACUUGGAUUUAUCACUAGCCGAUGUAUAUUGGGUUUGAAAAUUGCAAUGUGACAUGGAGGGAAGUGUCAAUGGUUUUUUGGCAUGAUAGACUAAGGGUGCGCUAACCUUGUGUGUGUAGAAGUAUUUAACGAUUCCUAAAUCCCCACCUUGACUUGUCUACUGUGAAAGGCCAAUCUUGACAUUGCCAUUUCCUCGCACUCAUAUCCUUAUCAUAUUCUGACACGUAUACAACUCUAGGUAAAUUGAGAUGAUAUGGCUAUGCUUUCUAUGCGCCUAAUUGUUUUGAGCAAAGAUUGAUU
rnacentral:lncRNA from 1 species